AUUGCUAGAGAAAAAGGUCAGCAGCAACUCCUAGUUCCGGUCACUAUAUUCCCAAGGCACGUGUCUCCGGCAGUGACUCAACAGCCGAAUAUACAGAUUUGGGAUGAAACUGUUGUGGAGAUGAUCAUUAUUCAUAUACUUAGGACUGUGAUUUGAGACGGACAUCUCAACGUUGGAUUUCGAUCGGAUUGGACCCUUCU